UGGGGAAUUUUGGACAAUGGGCGCAAGCCUGAUCCAGCCAUUCCGCGUGCAGGAUGAAGGCCCUCGGGUUGUAAACUGCUUUUGUACGGAACGAAACGCUCCGGGUUAAUACCCUGGGGUAAUGACGGUACCGUAAGAAUAAGCACCGGCUAACUACGUGCCAGCAGCCGCGGUAAUACGUAGGGUGCAAGCGUUAAUCGGAAUUACUGGGCGUAAAGCGUGCGCAGGCGGUUGUGCAAGACAGAUGUGAAAUCCCCGGGCUCAACCUGGGAACUGCAUUUGUGACUGCACGGCUGGAGUGCGGCAGAGGGGGAUGGAAUUCCGCGUGUAGCAGUGAAAUGCGUAGAUAUGCGGAGGAACACCGAUGGCGAAGGCAAUCCCCUGGGCCUGCACUGACGCUCAUGCACGAAAGCGUGGGGAGCAAACAGGAUUAGAUACCCUGGUAGA
rnacentral:rRNA from 1 species